UACGUAGGUGGCAAGCGUUGUCCGGAUUUACUGGGCGUAAAGAGCGCGCAGGCGGUCGUUCAAGUCGCGUGUGAAAGCCCCCGGCUCAACUGGGGAGGGUCACGCGAUACUGAUCGACUCGAAGGCAGGAGAGGGAAGUGGAAUUCCCGGUGUAGUGGUGAAAUGCGUAGAUAUCGGGAGGAACACCGAUGGCGAAGGCAGCCCCCUGGGCUGAGAUUGACGCUCAGGCACGAAAGCGUGGGGAGCAAACAGG
rnacentral:rRNA from 1 species